AACGAACGCUGGCGGCAGGCUUAACACAUGCAAGUCGAGCGCCCCGCAAGGGGGGCGGCAGACGGGUGAGUAACGCGGGGGAACGGACCAAUUGGUUCGUAACAACCCCGUGAAACUGGAGCAAAUACCGGAAAAGCCAUAACGGGGAAAGCAUUAUCGCCGAAAGAUCGGACCGCGUCUGAUUAGCGAGUUGGUGAUGUAACGGCGAACCAAGGGGACGAUCAGAAGCUGGUCUGAGAGGAUGCUCAGCCACACGGGACCUGAGACACGGCCCAGACUCCUACCGGAGGCAGCAGUAGGGAAUAUUGGACAAUGGGCGCAAGCCUGAUCCAGCCAUGCCGCGUGAGUGAUGGAGGCCUUAGGGUUGUAAAGCUCUUUUGUCCGGGAAGCUAAUUACUGUACCGGAAGCAUAAGCCCCGGCUAACUUCGUG
rnacentral:rRNA from 1 species